rnacentral:rRNA from 1 species
GACGAACGCUGGCGGCGUGCUUAACACAUGCAAGUCGAACGGAAAGGCCCUGCUUUUGUUGGGUGCUCGAGUGGCGAACGGGUGAGUAACACGUGAGUAACCUGCCCUUGACUUUGGGAUAACUUCAGGAAACUGGGGCUAAUACCGGAUAGUAGCUCCUGCUGCAUGGUGGGGGUUGGAAAGUUUCGGCGGUUGGGGAUGGACUCGCGGCUUAUCAGCUUGUUGGUGGGGUAGUGGCUUACCAAGGCUUUGACGGGUAGCCGGCCUGAGAGGGUGACCGGCCACAUUGGGACUGAGAUACGGACCAGACUCCUACGGGAGGCAGCAGUGGGGAAUAUUGCACAAUGGGCGGAAGCCUGAUGCAGCAACGCCGCGUGCGGGAUGACGGCCUUCGGGUUGUAAACCGCUUUCGCCUGUGACGAAGCGUGAGUGACGGUAAUGGGUAAAGAAGCACCGGCUAACUACGUG